rnacentral:lncRNA from 1 species
GAUAUGAUGACCAAGACCUUAAAUAUAUCAAAUACUCCUCAAACUCCAUCUCCUUCUCUGCCGCAAACUCCGUUAUCGGCUCCUCCCCAUCCACCGCCUCGAAUGGGAACUCAAUCGUUUUAUACUCUUCAUCAACCAACCGCCUUGGUGCCUCCCAAUAAGGCCCAAAAUCUGUUUUGUAGAUGCGGCGGAGGACAGUGUCGAUACCAUUAUUGACUUCGGGCAAUGAGUAGCACCAGGCCGCAAUCACGCCGUGAGGUUUCUUCAAGACCCAUCGUACGUUUUGGUAGAAAGAUGGGAGGUUGAACCAAUGGAGGGCUUGUGCCACAGUGACUAAGUCGACAGACCCCGGUGGUGCCACCAUUUUCUCGACUUCCUCGAUGGACAUUGUCGACGGGGUGUGGUGG